rnacentral:rRNA from 1 species
UCCUUGUCGGGUAAGUUCCGACCUGCACGAAUGGCGUAACGAUGGCGGCGCUGUCUCCACCCGAGACUCAGUGAAAUUGAAAUCGCUGUGAAGAUGCAGUGUAUCCGCGGCUAGACGGAAAGACCCCGUGAACCUUUACUAUAGCUUUGCACUGGACUUUGAAUUUGCUUGUGUAGGAUAGGUGGGAGGCUUUGAAGCGUGGACGCCAGUCUGCGUGGAGCCUCCCUUGAGAUACCACCCUUGUUCUGCUUGAUGUCUAACCGCGGUCCAUUAUCUGGAUCCGGGACCCUGUGUGGCGGGUAGUUUGACUGGGGCGGGCGCCUCCUAAAAGGUAACGGGGGCGUGCAAAGGUUCCCUCC